CCUUGGGAUUGGCUUAGGAGGGUUGGCAACGACCCCCCAGAGCCGAAACUUGGUCAAACUCGGUCAUUUAGGGGAAGUAAAAGUCGUAACAAGGUUUCCGUAGGUGAACUGCGGAAGGAUCAUUACCGGGUGAGGGCCCUCUGGGUCCAACCUCCCACCCGUGUUUAUUUUACCUUGUUGCUUCGGCGGGCCCGCCUUAACUGGCCGCCGGGGGGCUUACGUCCCCGGGCCCGCGCCCGCCGAAGACACCCUCGAACUCUGUCUGAAGAUUGUAGUCUGAGUGAAAAUAUAAAUUAUUUAAAACUUUCAACAACGGAUCUCUUGGUUCCGGCAUCGAUGAAGAACGCAGCGAAAUGCGAUACGUAAUGUGAAUUGCAAAUUCAGUGAAUCAUCGAGUCUUUGAACGCACAUUGCGCCCCCUGGUAUUCCGGGGGGCAUGCCUGUCCGAGCGUCAUUGCUGCCCUCAAGCACGGCUUGUGUGUUGGGCCCCGUCCUCCGAUCCCGGGGGACGGGCCCGAAAGGCAGCGGCGGCACCGCGUCCGGUCCUCGAGCGUAUGGGGCUUUGUCACCCGCUCUGUAGGCCCGGCCGGCGCUUGCCGAUCAACCCAAACUUUUAUCCAGGUUGACCUCGGAUCAGGUAGGGAUACCCGCUGAACUUAAGCAUAUCAAUAAGCGGAGGAAAAGAAACCAACAGGGAUUGCCCCAGUAACGGCGAGUGAAGCGGCAAGAGCUCAAAUUUGAAAGCUGGCUCCUUCGGGGUCCGCAUUGUAAUUUGUAGAGGAUGCUUUGGGAGCGGUCCCCAUCUAAGUGCCCUGG
rnacentral:rRNA from 1 species